CUUUAAUACUCUUUUGUCCCAGCUCAUCAAACGUCUCUGUUACGUCGGCUUUGGGUCGGCCCAGUCCUGUAGAAUGUCUGCCCACAUACGGAAGUCGCCACAGAGGCGGAAUUUCAUCUCCGCGGUGUUUGUUUGGAACUGAGCUCGCAGGACACAGCAUCUCAUCGCAGUUGGUUUCAGUUGACGUUAUCUGCUCAUCUGGUUAUCGUGAGCACUCGUUUUGGGUUAAAGUGGAAGUGCCCGGAGCUGCCACCCGUGGUCCCGCGGCCCCCCGGCCUGCCCUCCGGGGCCCUGGACGUGUGCUCAAGUGUCUGGGAGAGGAGCGGAGAGGAGCACGGAGGUCAGGCGGGGCGGGCCGACACUGUGUAUCCCAGAACGGGUGCUGAAGUGUCGGUGAGACCAGCAGAGAGGAGCGCGGAGGUGAAAUAGUGAAGUUUAAGGAUGCCUUCGGCUGCCAGGAGAAGCGGACUGGCCAUCAGAUAUUUUUUGUGGAACUUUGAAAAAAAGUUUGUCAAAAUGACUUUUGUAGGGGCGUUGGUGGCUUAGUGGUAGAGCAGGCGCCCCAUGUACAAGGCUGUUGCCACAGUGGCCCGGGUUCGACUCCAGCCUGUGGCCCUUUGCUGCAUGUCAUUCCCUCUCUCUCUCUCCCCCUUUCACACUUAACUGUCCUGUUCAUUAAAUGCAAAAAAUGCCCUAAAAAAUAUCUUUUAAAAAAAA